rnacentral:rRNA from 1 species
GUGAGGAAUUUUCCGCAAUGGGCGAAAGCCUGACGGAGCAAUGCCGCGUGAAGGAUGAAGGCCUAUGGGUUGUAAACUUCUUUUCUCAGAAAAGAAUUAUGACGGUAUCUGAGGAAUAAGCAUCGGCUAACUCUGUGCCAGCAGCCGCGGUAAGACAGAGGAUGCAAGCGUUAUCCGGAAUGAUUGGGCGUAAAGCGUCUGUAGGUUGUUUAAAAAGUAUUCUGUCAAAGAUUAGGGCUUAACCCUAGAUAGGCAGAAUAAACUUUUAAGCUAGAGUUUGGUAGAGGCAGAGGGAAUUCCCGGUGGAGCGGUGAAAUGCGUAGAUAUCGGGAGGAACACCAAAGGCGAAGGCACUCUGCUGGGCCAAUACUAACACUGAGAGACGAAAGCGAGGGGAGCAAAUGGGAUUAGAUACCUUGUAGUCC